rnacentral:rRNA from 1 species
AUUGAACGCUGGCGGCAUGCCUUACACAUGCAAGUCGAACGGCAGCGGACCUUCGGGUGCCGGCGAGUGGCGAACGGGUGAGUAAUAUAUCGGAACGUACCUUUCAGUGGGGGAUAACGUAGCGAAAGUUACGCUAAUACCGCAUAUUCUGUGAGCAGGAAAGCAGGGGAUCGCAAGACCUUGCGCUGAUUGAGCGGCCGAUAUCAGAUUAGCUAGUUGGUGAGGUAAAGGCUCACCAAGGCGACGAUCUGUAGCGGGUCUGAGAGGAUGAUCCGCCACACUGGAACUGAGACACGGUCCAGACUCCUACGGGAGGCAGCAGUGGGGAAUUUGGACAAUGGGCGCAAGCCUGAUCCAGCCAUGCCGCGUGAGUGAAGAAGGCCUGGUGUAAG